GAUGAACGCUGGCGGCGUGCUUAACACAUGCAAGUCGAACGAUGAAGCCCAGCUUGCUGGGUGGAUUAGUGGCGAACGGGUGAGUAACACGUGAGUAACCUGCCCUUAACUCUGGGAUAAGCCUGGGAAACUGGGUCUAAUACCGGAUAGGAGCGUCCACCGCAUGGUGGGUGUUGGAAAGAUUUAUCGGUUUUGGAUGGACUCGCGGCCUAUCAGCUUGUUGGUGAGGUAAUGGCUCACCAAGGCGACGACGGGUAGCCGGCCUGAGAGGGUGACCGGCCACACUGGGACUGAGACACGGCCCAGACUCCUACGGGAGGCAGCAGUGGGGAAUAUUGCACAAUGGGCGCAAGCCUGAUGCAGCGACGCCGCGUGAGGGAUGACGGCCGUCGGGUUGUAAACCUCUUUCAGUAGGGAAGAAGCGAGAGUGACGGUACCUGCAGAAGAAGCACCGGCUAACUACGUG
rnacentral:rRNA from 1 species